AACGAUAAAGGCGUGAUAGCAUGACAUUAAAUUAGGGUAACAAUUUUCGAAACUCACGGGAGGCAGCAGUGGGGAAUUUUUCGCAAUGGGCGAAAGCCUAAUGGAGCAAUGCCGCGUGGAGGUAGAAGGCCCACGGGUCGUGAACUUCUUUUCCCGGAGAAGAAGCAAUGAUGGUAUCUGGGGAAUAAGCAAAAAAUAAUCAUU
rnacentral:rRNA from 1 species